rnacentral:rRNA from 1 species
UACGUAGGGUGCAAGCGUUGUCCGGAAUUAUUGGGCGUAAAGAGCUCGUAGGCGGUUCGUCGCGUCGGCUGUGAAAUCCCGAGGCUCAACCUCGGGUCUGCAGUCGAUACGGGCGGACUGGAGUUCGGCAGGGGAGACUGGAAUUCCUGGUGUAGCGGUGAAAUGCGCAGAUAUCAGGAGGAACACCGGUGGCGAAGGCGGGUCUCUGGGCCGAUACUGAUGCUGAGGAGCGAAAGCGUGGGGAGCGAACAGG